rnacentral:rRNA from 1 species
AUUGAACGCUGGCGGCAUGCCCUACACAUGCAAGUCGAACGGCAGCGGGGGAGAAGCUUGCUUUUCCUGCCGGCGAGUGGCGAACGGGUGAGUAAUACAUCGGAACGUGCCCUGUAGUGGGGGAUAACUAGUCGAAAGAUUAGCUAAUACCGCAUACGACCUGAGGGUGAAAGUGGGGGACCGCAAGGCCUCAUGCUAUAGGAGCGGCCGAUGUCUGAUUAGCUAGUUGGUGGGGUAAAGGCCUACCAAGGCGACGAUCAGUAGCUGGUCUGAGAGGACGAUAAGCCACACUGGGACUAAGACACGGCCCAGACUCCUACGGGAGGCAGCAGUGGGGAAUUUUGGACAAUGGGCGAAAGCCUGAUCCAGCAAUGCCGCGUGUGUGAAGAAGGCCUUCGGGUUGUAAAGCACUUUUGUCCGGAAAGAAAUGGCUCUGGUUAAUACCUGGGGUCGAUGACGGUACCGGAAGAAUAAGGACCGGCUAACUACGUGCCAGCCGCCGCAGUAA